rnacentral:lncRNA from 1 species
AAAGCAUCCUAUGCCGUUGCAAUUCAACAGCACCGCUAAUGAGGAGGACGGGCCUUGCGUCUUAGCAUCGAGGCUAUGUACGGACUUCUGCAAUGUUUUCCUACCCUUUUGGCCCGCGGUUCGCGCAACCUGGUUCCCACGGGCUGCAGUCUUGGGCCUCUACUAGCCAUCUUCCAGCCAAUGUUAUGCCGACACUUGGCACAGCACGACAUUUGCAAGAGCUCAUCAGAAUGCUGGCAAAAUAAAGAAACUGUUAUUUCAGCUUCCAAAAUGCACGUUUUUGUCACAUCCUUCUGCAAGCUUCCUGCAGUGCCAUUUUGUAUUGCUUCUCAUGCACAUGGGCAUGUGCAAAUAAAGUUAUCCUAGGCAUCCAGUUUGCAGUGUUGCUCAGUAUCCUGGGAUAGUGUUUAACAUAGUCAAACAAGGCAUUUUACGGGCUUGAGACUCUAGUGAUGUUGCUUGCUGUAGUGCUGAUGAUCAUUUCAAGUUACUGCGAUUCCGUGGUCCUCCAUCAUGUUUGGCUGGAAUGCAAGAA